CCNGGCUGCUGAAAGAAUAAAGACUUCUUUU
rnacentral:piRNA from 1 species